UGGCCAAGAACAAAUUAAGAGGGCAGAAGUCCAGGAACGUAUUUCACAUGGUCAGCCAAAACAACUUUAUAAGGCUAAAAACAAAGCAAAGCCAGUUACUACUCAUCUUAAAAUAAAUGUUAUGAAUGAUGAAAAGUUAACAAUGUUAAUAAAGCAUUUGUAAAUAUACAAAAGGAACUAAACUUCUCAAAAGCCCUUUCUCUUGAACCUCUGCAAAAAGAACCAAUUCCUCAGAAGCGUCAUGAAAGCAAACCCGUUAAUGUUGAUGAAG
rnacentral:lncRNA from 1 species